GAAGGGGGUAAUCCCUCUUCUCUGUCAACAAAUAGGGAAUUCCUUUCUGAUUUCCAGUCUGCAUUCCCCGAGACUUUCACCCCCAUAUCUUAUCCACUCUUUUUAGACAAGAACCCCCUGUGUCUUAUAUGACCCAACCAUGGCCAGCAGUAUUCAGUCUGCCCACCUUCCCUCCUGAACUGCAAGCUGCUCUCCAGAGGAAAGAUCCUGCCUUUAAAAAGAAGGACAAAUCACAUAUACGGGCAUUAUUGAUUCAAGUGCUGUUUGAUAAUGUCACUAAACACACUUGGUAUCCCAGUCACAAAAUGUAUGGAGAUGUCCUGGGGAGUUUGAUUACAAAAUGUCCAUUCUUAAGAGAUGGCAGUUCAUCUGGACAUGAGACAUUGUUAGAGUGCUUCCGUAACAAAUUCAAGAAGGAAAGGAUUCCACUUGUGCACAACUCCACAGUCCUCCAAAUGAAAACAAAGUAUGGAACCAAAAAACGAAUGGUGGAGCAAACAUCCUAUGUGGACACUACCAUCGAACCUGAGCUGGCAAAAAGGAGAGAAGAAUUACUGUAUUAUUCAGCAUCACACAGUAACUCCAGUUCCUCGCUUGAGGUUUUAGAGCUGGAAGCAGUUGGAGAGGAUGACACCAGUUAUCAAGAGCACCUGAAUUUCAUCUUAAGGGAGUUGGCCAAGAAGCAACCAAAUUUGGCAGAAAUUAAAAUCAGGAUGAGGAGGACACUUUUUAAGCGCAUUGAAGCAAUGACUCCCAACAAAGAAAGUCAUGGAGAUUUUUCCAUUUCUUGGCAUCCCACAGCUAAUGCAUCAUGAAAUGCAAAUGAAAUUUGGGAUAGACAUGGACAGGAGCUUGCAAACUGCAAUACACGAGUUGGCCCCAAGAAUCAUCAGGGUGGUGAAGGAGGGCAGCCAGAAAAGGUUUUCACCCUCCCUCCUUGAGCCAACAAAUGAGAGAUUAGAAAAUGCUGCACUGCUGUUGCUGCCGGAACUCUUCAAGGAGAAAACAGAUACAUAGAUACUUUACACCGUGUUGAAGAUGAAGUCCACCCCUGCCCAACUGUCGUUUUCCAUGGCUCCCUCAAUGAGCUCAAGGCAGACACCAUCAGCAUCAGGCUCGAUGGACUAACAUUAACCACUGGGAAAAUGACCAUAGCCAUAGCCAUAGACCAUAGCCAUAGCACUCGAGUACCUCUUCAGCACUUAUGUCCUGUUCAAUGCAUCAUAUCCCGCCCCUCUUGUAAAUACUUUAACAUUCAUUCAGAUAUUUUUAUUCCAACACUGUCCUAACAAGAAAAAAAUCCCCAUCCCUGUUCUUAAAAUGUACAAACAUUUUAUGUCAUUUGAUUAAAUAUCCCCUUUAUUCCCUUGAUAAAUUAUAUCUUUCUAUCUUUCUUUCUUUUUUCUUAUACUGUAGCUUGUUACAAUAAAUUACUUCUUAAAACCUUUGUCUUGUUUCAUCAUUUUCAUGGCA